GUGUCAACAAUGUUGCAUGGAUGUAACCAGCCAACCCCAUCCAUGGGGGCCCUGACAGAGACAGACGCGGGCACAGAAGAGGGAGGAGAAGCCGGGGAAGGUUUGCUGCCCACGGUCAGGGCCAGCUGAAGACGCAGCUGUCACACAGCAUGAGGAGAGACCUCCCCCCCACCCCUGCGUUUCUGCACCUUGGUGUUGCCACCACACCUAGACUGUAACAUUUGCAAGAAAGCCUGUCUUAUCGGAAGUCACCUCCAUCUCACAUUUCUAGAACACUCCAGCCAAAGAGUGUAGAGAAACGUUCCUCUCAAGUACCAAGAGACUACCAUCUGAAAACAGAAAACAAGUUCCAACAGAUUUAAAAUGAUUCAAACCAACAUCAUUAGUCAUUAGGGAAAGUCAAAUUAAAACGUCAACGAUGACGUGCAUGCCUAUGUGAAUGGCUGACGUUAAGGAGACUGGCCACGCCGGGCACCCGAGGGUUCGGGAGGACGGAGAGAAGCCGGAGCUCUCAGGCACUGUGGUCGUGAAUGCGGGAUCACACAACCUCGCUGGAGAACCGUUUGGGAAUUCCCUUUGUUCGUGAACGAUCAGAGAAGCUUUAGUUGUUAUGGUCAAAAAAAUGGCAACAACCGAAACGUCCAUCAACAUAAAAAAGCAUAAACAAAUUGUGCUAUUCUGUGGGGGGGAGAAGCCGUGAGGUUAAUGCAUGCCUGGUCCUGGGGCUCCCUCUGGCUAUUCGUAAAGCUCCCAUCAGCCGCACGAGUGGGCAGGUGCGGGAGGGAGGGCAGCAACUCGCAAAAGGCUGACUACAGGUCAUUUCUGAGGACCACCCCCUUCUGGCGUCUGCACUUCUUAUGAUAAAGCACAUGGACACUGGGUUUUCCCUGCUGCUGUCAAAAAGCCCUCCUAGCUGCCCUGAGAUGUGCCAGCCGGCGCACCCCCAACGGCACCCACCCGAAGGGAGCAGCCAGGGCCUGAGGCGCCCAGAGCUCUCUGGCACAGACAGUGCCACCUGCCUCUGCACCGGAGGCGUGCGGCACAGCAGGCACCGACGCUCAAGACGCUGUUUCCAACUCUCCUUACUUAGGGAUGAGCAAAAACUAACUCAUUUUGCUAAAAUGAGAAAAUACUAAAUGUCAUGUAAUUUUCAAAGUUUAUAAACAGGAGUCAGGAAA